rnacentral:rRNA from 1 species
UUCCAGACUCCUACGGGAGGCAGCAGUGAGGAAUAUUGGUCAAUGGUCGGGAGACUGAACCAGCCAAGCCGCGUGAGGGAGGAAGGUACAGAGUAUCGUAAACCUCUUUUGUCAGGGAACAAAGGCGGGGACGUGUCCCCGGAUGAGUGUACCUGAAGAAAAAGCAUCGGCUAACUCCGUGCCAGCAGCCGCGGUAAUACGGAGGAUGCGAGCGUUAUCCGGAUUUAUUGGGUUUAAAGGGUGCGUAGGCGGUCCGUUAGGUCAGGGGUAAAAUUGGGGGGCUCAACCCCGGCGAGCCGUUGAAACUGGCAGACUUGAGUUGGCGAGAAGUACGCGGAAUGCGCGGUGUAGCGGUGAAAUGCAUAGAUAUCGCGCAGAACUCCGAUUGCGAAGGCAGCGUACCGGCGCCCGACUGACGCUGAAGCACGAAAGCGUGGGUAUCGAACAGGAUUAGAUACCCCUGUAC